GUGAAGUGUUUUUUGGAUAUCGCGUAAGAACAGCUAACGAUAAUCUAUUAACAUCUGAGCUUGAUAACGGGGUAUUAACUGACGUGUCUGACUUGCGUAAAAGGGUCGAUGAAAAUAUUAAAGCCGAUGCAAUAUAUCAGAAAAAGCGGUUUGAUGAAUCACGAAAACAAGCGUGUAAAUAUUCGGUGGGUGACCUUGUUUUGCUGAAAAAUCUAUGCAAAAAUAACGACGGCCAAAGUAGGAAGCUAAUGCCAUCUUAUAAGGGCCCAUUUCAAGUCAAGAGCGUCCUAGGGAAUGACAGAUAUGAGGUGACGGAUGUGCGAGGCUCGGAACGAAGUACUAAGCACUAUUCGGGCACGGCCGCGGCGGAAAACAUGAAGCCGUGGAUCCGAAUAGGAGACUGGCCUUCAGAUUAAAUUACCCUGGAUGAAACGUGGUGGUGUCAGGGGCUGACACGUUGCAGAACGGCCGUGUUGGCAACCUUGAACGCGCGGCAAGAUUCUACCUGCUGCGCGACCGGCCAGGUGGUGGCGGCGCCCCUCCACUUCUAUAAAUACCGUUGCGGCACCGGCGGCCACCUCUUUAUUCAUUGAGACUUCGACUGGGGCACUAGAUAUUCAUUUAAUUAAUGUGAUUUUAGAUAUUCAAAUAAUUGAUGUGAUUUAUGUACACUUAUUAAACAAUAAAAGUAUUUCGUAUAUUUAA